AUGGCUGUGCUUGUUAUGGUAUCAGCUACUGAUAAAACUCAGUAUUCACCUCUCUCCAAGGGAAGCAACAUGCUUGGCAUAAACAUUCACUUAAUUGAAAGUGCUGCAGGCAAUAUAGGUCACAGAUGGCUGCACCGAUUAGAGAGAGGAAAACCUUUCCAAUUUCAUUGCACAUGUAUGAUUGGAUCUUGGGCUGAUUUGAACUGGCAUAGAUUCAUGAAGCUACAUUGAUUUGCUCCAGCUGAGGGCUUGAACUGGUCCCUUUGAAACAGGAUGCCUUGGUUGAUGCUCACUUCUCCACUCUUUGCACACUGCUGUGCUUUCUGUCAACCUCACCUCCUAGACUCAGCUGCCAACAUUGCAUAUUAUACACUCCCCGCUGCAAUGCCUUGCCUGCCCUGUCACUAAGGCAAAAUGGAGAAGGUGAAAUUGUUACUGUCAAUGCUAAUAAAGAAGGCAUUCCGCUGAAAAGCCUGAAGUGUGCUUUUUUUUAUUAAAAAAACUUUAAAGACUGAAGUAAAAGCCUUAAGAGGAACAGGGAGGGAGGAGAAAGAAUGAA